UUGGGAGCUCACUAGCUUCGGAGUCAAUAGAACUCCGAAGUUAAGCGAGUUUGGGCUAGAGCAAUCCCAAGAUAGGUGACCCACUGGGAAGUUGCUCGUGAGCUCCCAGA
rfam:Prunus persica cultivar Lovell chromosome G1, whole genome shotgun sequence.